UAUCGGAUUAACUCUACAUCUCGUAAGAAUCCCACAAUAUCUGAUUAUCUCCUUAAACAGUUUUCCAGUCACAACGUUGAAAUUUCCCUAGGUAAUCGCAACGGAAGAGUUUUGUUCUUUUUCUUCAUUAGAAAGGUCUCUAUUUUCUGGAAAUGGGAUUCUUGACUUAGUGAUCAGUCGCCAACGCUGGAAUUGGUUGAUCUCCGGAUUUAGGGGCCUUCUCUCGGCAGCAUGCUGCUCGAUCACCAUUUUCCUCAGUUUUAGGAAAUGGUCCGGCUAUAUCUGCUGCGACUCUUUCAAAUCUUCCACCAGCAAUAUACGUUUCCAUAUAAUUUCUCCAUCUUCCUGGAUUUUUCCUUUCUUCACAUACAUCACGAGCACAGGACAAAAUUUGUAGCCCUCCACCGGCAAGUGGUGUCGUCUCCAUAUGAGUGAAAAAUUCUCGAGAGGGACGUUAAACAUCAUACAAUCAAUCAAUCUUCUAAGAAGGUAAUGCAAGUGUUUCACAAAGAAAACGACUGCUAACAUUUCUUUUCUAGUAACACAGUAAUUUUUCUCAUUAGAUGUUAAAGUUCGGCUAGCAUACUGCAUCACUUUUUAGGCGGAAGCCGCCUAUUACAUUUGCUUUGUUGACCUUUCGACCUCUCAAGAUGUUUGCCCCGUUUCAUGGUACUCCAAAUGGAUGUAUCCUAAAUUAAGGGCAGACAACCCGCUAAAUCAUAUUCGAUCCCUUCCCAAUCUUUAUUGUUAUUAUCAUAUCAAAAAGUGUGCAUUAUGGCGAAUUUAUUUUAACAAUUUAUUUUGAUUAAUGUAAAAAAAGUCCAAUAAAAAGUAAUAGCCUAAUAAUAGAACGAAUAGUUAUUUUAGUACUCCCGAUACGUUUCACGCUUGAGAGAAGAACGAACGACAACACAUAAAUAAAUCGGGUUCAACAUUUGAUUAGCAAGGGGUCCUGACGCAAUCUGUAGAAAUACUACGAGGGACAAAUAGUCCAAGUAGUAAUUAUGUUUAAGAAUUAAUUACAGGUACAGAGCUAUUGAGGAACUAAUCUUCAAUUGCCAUGGCUUCAUCUGCAUUCUCUAGGAUAUGCUCAUGUCAUUCGUGGUCUCCUUGGUCCUGAUCAGGCCUCUCCAUGCUUAUUCAGGUAAAUUCUCACGAGGAUAUAACAUUUGGUUUGUAUGAGUCCAAUGAAACAUAAAAAUCCUACUUUUGAUAAUAGAAAACCUCUGCAGAAAAUCUGGAGUUAGAUUAUCCAACCACUACCAAUAUUUUUAUAAGUAUUUCAGACUCUGGCUUGUAUCAUCUAAUCUUGAUUCUGAACAGUCUAUCUUGUUCGUCACACAAUUUAUUUUCUUCACCUCUUUUCAUAAAAAAUAUUGAAAUGGUUCGCUUUUUGCUUGUUAAAAGUUUUCAAGACACCUGGGAAACAUUCUCUGGUCUUGACCAGAAAAGGUUAAUGUUUUUGUAUUCCUCAAAAUUGCAAUCCAGUUGUUGCUCUUCCUUGGAUUAAGUUACUCCCUUACUGUCCAAAGUAUAUCAUACAAGUUUAGAGGGUGAUGCUAUAUGUACCAAACAUGUAUAAAUGCAACCAGAAGGAGACUAAAUCCAGCUUACCACUCUUUAUUUGAAUUAAACAAUCCAUUUGGAAUGUGUAAAAUAACAAUAACUGAAUGAUUUUCUUUUAACAAGAUUUGAACUCUUUAUGAAAAGAAUGGUUGCUUAAUUAUCAGCAUUUUCAUCGCAUUCUAGAUAAAAGAAGACCACGCAAACUCAUAUCGAGAUUGAUUUUAUCCAGAUUAAACAGGUACGCCGUCUGGAAGAAUUUUAUGGCUAUUCGCCUUGUAAUUCGGCGAUGAGAACAUUUUGCUUCCAGAAAGAAGGGAAUUUGAAGUCUCGAAAAGAGGACUUAAUCAGCACAUUUACUUCAUCUACAAUACCGUUGUAAUUAAACCUUUGCUUAAAACGUGGCCAUAAUUUGCACACAUAAAUUUGGGAAACUCCAAAUCUCCAUGGAGUACCGAGACAAUGGAUUCUAAAUUCCCAGCUGUUUCUUUGGGUUAACUGAUGCCUCGGAUGUCAUUUCCUCCAACCAGAAGAAUUAUUUUGUCAGGUUUCACCCGUUCAAUGAAAUGCGCAUUCUCGAGGAGAAUGCCUGAUACUGUGCAGCCUCCAAUGCCUCUAAAAUAUUUCGUGUGUUUAAGGAAUUGAUGUAAGGAACGGACACUAUAAUAACCGAAAAUGAGUAUUUUGUUAGAAUCCAUAAAUAAAUACAAAGAUAAAAUAACAUUAACGUUUGAAAUCGAAUAAAAUCGUAUUCAUACAUCCUCUUUGAUUCUCUUACAGAUGUCAAGGAGAGUAAUUUGGCCUCCAAGAAUUCUGUCGUCUGUCUGAUUAUGAUCAGCAGCAACACUUUUCUUACUUUUGAAACGCUAGCGAAAAAUUGUGUUGCGUAAGCGAUUCCAGUUGCCUUUUGAUCCGCUUCCUUCUCGUCGUGCCCACGCUGGAUCAGGAGCUUCGUACAUGUAGGCGUCGGAAGGUUGGCUGAGGGCUCCUCAUCUUUCCAACCAUUAAUUUAUCAUGACUGACUCAGGUGACGUAAUUAAAAAAAAAGAAAAACUACUUCGCUUCGGUUUUGCGGUUGGUCAUUUUCGUCCACAACAGGAUGCAGUGAACACCACAUGUUGCACGGAAGUAUUUUAAUUCUGUGCAAUGCCUACAGCGUAUAUGGAAAAGAAAAGCUUUCUAUAAGGUAUUUAUUAGUUAUUACAGUUGCAAGGAAUGAAAGCACAACUAAGGCACAAUAAAACAUUUAGACAUUUUACAUAUGAAAACAACUAGUAAACAAUGCAACUAUAGCAUAUGAAAAAUAUUUUUCUUUAAAGGGAAACGUUAUAAUAAUUAAAAAAUAUAAAUACCAGUGCUCCUCUCUCUUCGGAUUCCCUUGUGUAGCAGUGCCUGCAGUAUGUAUCUAGAUCAUCUGUAAUAUGUAGAGUACAUAAUAAGUAUAGUGGCACUUCUUACAUCGGAUGGAAAGGAUCCAUGCCAGACCUUGUUUUUCCUCCCAAGCUGAUUCCAGUCCAGUGGACCAUCACAGUCUGGAAACUUAUCAGACCGUCCUUGUAGAGGGAAUCUGCAGCUCGACCAGCGGAGCUGUCCGGGUCAGUGGUUACCUCCCUUGCCUCGAGGCCAUCUUUGCAGAGGAGUUCCGCCAUCCCUUCCCGAGCCCAUGUGAACUCACCCCCUAUUGUAUGCUGCAUGGGUAGGUUUGCCCCUCAAACCCCAGGACUACAUUGGUGGUUAGCAGUGCCCUACUCCAGUUAGUGACCAUGUUUGGAACAGAUUUUAUUUUUUGAAACCAUUUUAACAAUUU